GCAAUGGGGAGCAUCGGGUCCGAAUGAGCAGAAAUUUAGUUUUUGAAAAACAAGCGAGGAGAAAUGUUUGCAGCGAUAAUCACAACCUUGACUCUGUCCGUCUGUGCAGUGGGUGUAAAUGCAGGGACAGACCUGAUCCAAUCACCAGGGGUUGUGAAGGUGCGUGAAGGUGGAACAGUGCUGAUACAGUGUGUCCUGGAGAGUGACCAUGUGGAUGUCACUGUGGAUAAAUACCAUGUACACUGGUACAACUCACACAAUAAACUGACACGUAAAGGAAUUGUCCUUAGUCUCUACCAUAAUGGCCGAGUUUACAGGUCACGGGGCUUCUCUGGUCGAUUUCAGCUUUCCAGAAAUGUCACCACUAACAGCUACUCACUGACCAUCAGGAAAGUGAGGAUCACCGACUCUAAACUUUACAUCUGUGGCAUUUGGGACUUGGUCUUUGGAAAUGGAACCCAGCUGAAUGUGACCAGUGCAGAUGUUCCUGCCCUUAUCCAGUCCCCGAGCAUACAGCGUGUCACUGAGGGUCACACGGCGUGGUUAUGGUGUACCAUGAGCAAAGCCAGACUGGAAGACAUUGACGUCCACUGGUAUCGGAAACUACCUGGGCAGGACAUGGAGUGGGUUUUAACACACAGGGCAGGAGGCAGCCCAGAGUGGGGAUGGGGUUUCACUGAGAGGUUCCAGUCCUACAGAGACACGUCCAACAGCACCUUCACCCUGACAGUCACAGACGUGGUGCACAAUGAUUCUGCCGUCUAUUACUGCAGAGUGUGGGGAGACAUCGAUGGGAACAGCACCCAACUCAUCGUAACCAAAGCAGAUGAAGGUGGGUCUUGGAAAGUCUUGGCCAGUAUUCUCACCAGUAUCCUCGUACUCGUCCUCUUAUUCUUCAUCUUAGUUACAGCAAUAUGCUGUGUGAAAAAAUGGGCAUGUUUUCAACAGAGAUUGAAGCCAGAAGGAUGCUCUAGUGAAGAUGGGAACAUAGUGUAUGAAACAGUUACAGCUGAAACUGAGGUAGAUACACAGGCAGCCACAAAUGUUACUGCGUCCGAGCAAUCAGAGAUGUUUUAUGCUGAUAUUCAGUUCCAACAGCAGAAGACAGCUCCAAAAAUACAAGUCACCGAGGAAGCAACCGAAUAUGCCGUCAUCAAACGCACCCAGUGACUAAAAAUAAUUCAUCAGCAGCAGCAGUCAUCCUGAUGGUUCAGAGAUCUCCCGGGGUUGAAUACAGGAGUAAACGUAAAGGGAUCAUACCGAUACAAGGUUUCACAGCCAGCUCUUACCUGAAGGAAUGGUCAGCAAUGGAAAAUACAAAGGUUCAGAUAUUCACUUAUUAUCAAAGCAUGUAUCCAUAUACAACCCUGAAAUCCAUCUUCUCCAGAUAGCCAUCAAACAUAAUCAUAGAAACUCUACAGCAUAAUUCAGGCUCUUUGUUCCCCAAAGCUGUGCCAAAUAUGUCCCUACCUUAGAACGACAUAAGCUUUACCCCUAGCCCUCUAUUUUUCUAAGCUCCAUGUAUCCAUCCAGGAGUCUCUUAAAAGACUCUAUCAUUUCCGCCACCAGCAGCCCAUUCCAUGCACGCACCACUCUCUGCAUAAAAAACUUAACCCUGACGUCUCCUCUAUACCUACUUCAAGCACCUUAAAAUAAUGCCCUCUCGUGCUAACCAUUUCAGCCCUGGGGAAAAGCCUCCACAUGAUCAAUGCCUCUCAUUACCUCAUACUCAUCUAUCAGGCCACCUCUCACCCUCCGUUGCUCCAAGGAAUAAAGGCCAAUUUCGCUCAACCUGUUCUCAUAAGGCAUGCUCUCCAAUCCAGGCAACAUCCUUGUAAAUCUCCUUUGAACCCUCUCUAUGGUUUCCACAUCCUUCCUGUAGAGAGACAACCAAAAUUGAGCACAAUACUCCAAGUGGGGUCUGACCGGGAUCCUAUAUAGUUGCAAAAUCCCUCUCGGCUCUUAAACUCAAUCCCAUGAUUGAUGAAGGCUAAUGUACAGUAUGCCUUCUUAACCACAGAGUUAACCUGUGUAGCAGAGUUGAGUUUCCUAUGGACUCGGACUCCAAGAUCCCUCUGAUCAUCCACACUGCCAAAAUUCUUACCAUUAAUACUAUAUUCUGCCAUCAUUUUUGACCAACCAGAAUGAACCACCUCACACUUAUCUGGGUUGAACCUCGCCUCGGCCCUUCUAGCCGAACACUUGCUCUCACCUACCAUCACUGACUGGGCCCAGGGCACCAUUCUGACCAAUGAAACACUGUGACUACCAUACCUGCCCCCUGACAGACCUGUGUCUACUUAUUGAUUUUGCCCCCCUUUAAGUCACCCAGUACUAUCAGUGUGAAGCUUCGGGACGGUAUUUAAAAUGAAACCCCACUCCCCACACCCAAAUGCCACCCAAAUCCGCCCAUUGCAGACGUGACCAAUCAGCGGCUUCACCCUGGUGCCAUCCACUGACAGCAAAGAGGGGAUUACACAUUAUGUCCUCCUGCAGCUUCACAAUAAGGCUUUUUCCACAAUGACUUUAGUUGAUUUUAGGUUUCGCUGUUGCUAUGGAAUGGAGCGAACCCAAACACAGGAUGCAGACAAAGAACUCGAGUUAGGAUGCUUACGCGGGUGUGAAUGUUGAACAGAAAACAGGAGAGAGCUUGACACGGAGAGGCGGAUUUUCACAGGAAGGAUGUGGAGGCUUUGAAGAGGGUGAAGAAGAGUUUCACCAGGACGCUGCCUGGAUUAGAGGCCACGCUCUGUAGGAAGAUGUUGGACAGACGAGGGUUGUUUCCUCUGGAGUGGCGAAGGCUGAGGGGAGAACUGUUGGAGGUUUGUUUGUUUGUUUACAGAUACAGUGUGGAGUCAGCCCGUCUGACCCAUUAACUCAUGCUGACCAGCAACCCCCAACAGCCCUGAUUUAACCUGGACCCAAUCACAGAACAAUUUCCAAUGACCAAUCAGCCUAUCUGAUACAUCUUUGAACGGUGGGAGAAAACCGAGGCACCCAGGGAAAACCCACUUGUUCCACAGGGUGGACGUACAAUAUCCUCAGAGAGUAUGCUGGGAUUGAACUCAGAACUCCAAUGUCCCGAGCUGAAAUAUCAUCACGCUAACCACUACCCAACCGUGGUGCCCAAAUAUAUUAAUAUAUUAAAUAUCAUGUGGGGCACAGAUAGAUACCAGUGUCUUUUCCCCAUCGGUGAAAUGUCUCGUCCCAGAGGGCAGGUAUUGAAAGUGAAAGAGGGUAAUUUCAAAGCAGAUAUGAGGGGCAAGUUUCUGAAACAGAGAGGGGGGAGAGUCUGGAUUUCACUGCCAGGGGUGGGAGUGGAGACAAAUAUGACAGAGACGUUCAAGUGGUCCUUGGAUAGAGACAUGAUCUGGCAGGAAGUGGAGGAAUAUGGACAUUGUGUGGGCAUUUAAAAAUCUUUUUUUAUUAAUUAUUAUUGAAGAUUAACAAAAGAAGUACAUUAAGGUAAUCAAGUCAAUAUGUCAUUAUGUACAAUGAAGAAUUCAAUUAACAAAUAACUGAUUAACAAAGCUAAGCAAUAUAUCAAUAAUAAGAAGAAAAAAUAAAACAUUAAGAAUAUUGUUUGAAAGUAGGAAAGAAAGAAAAAAAAGAACCCCUACUAACUAAAAUAAACAAAACAAAAUCCCAUUGGAAGCACAACCCCGGAGCUAUACAUCAUACAAGCUUCUGUAGAAGAAAGACAUCAAUCUGCCAACUCAAAUCUACUUAGACAAAAAUCAGAAGGAAACCAUAUUAAUUAACUCAAAUCAGAUGAUAGUAGCGGGCAAGUGAACCCAACCUUUUCUCAAAAUCAAAUCGAGGAUCAAAAGUUUGACUUCUGAUUUUCAAAGUAGGAACAGAAGCACCUUUCCACUUCAACAAAAUAGCCCUUCUGACCAAUAUUGUAACAAAUGCAAUUAGAUGUUGGUCUGAUAGAGAAGUACCAUGAAUAUAUUGAGGGAUUAUGCCAAACAGAACUGUCAAUUUAUUAGGUUGUAAAUUAAUUUUUAAAACUUUAGAAAUAGUAGAGAAAAUAGAUUUCCAAAAAUGUUUCAAUACAGACAGGACCAAAACACAUGUGUCAAUGUGGCUGUCUCAGUUUUAUAUCUUUCACACUGACUAUCAACAUUAGGAAACAUUUUAGACAGUCUCUCCUUUGUCAAAAAGUAAUGAUGUACAAUUUUAAAUUGAAUUAAAGAGUGACUGGCACAGCUCGAAGAAGAGUUAACCAACUUCAAAAUCAGCAACCAAACCUCUGUGAUCAAGGUCAUGUUGAGCUCUCUCUCCCAAUCUUGCUUAAUCUUAAGGGAAGGGUAAUUGUGCUGUUUUAACAAUAAAUUAUAAAAUUUCCCAAUAAAUCUCUUCA